rnacentral:rRNA from 1 species
AGCUGUGAUGGGGAGAAGACAUUGUGUCUUCGAGUCGUUGAUUUCACACUGCCGAGAAAAGCCUCUAGAUAGAAAAUAGGUGCCCGUACCGCAAACCGACACAGGUAGUCAAGAUGAGAAUUCUAAGGUGAGCGAGCGAACUCUCGUUAAGGAACUCGGCAAAAUGACCCCGUAACUUCGGGAGAAGGGGUGCUCUUUAGGGUUAACGCCCAGAAGAGCCGCAGUGAAUAGGCCCAAGCGACUGUUUAUCAAAAACACAGGUCUCUGCUAAACCGUAAGGUGAUGUAUAGGGGCUGACGCCUGCCCGGUGCUGGAAGGUUAAGAGGAGUGGUUAGCUUCUGCGAAGCUACGAAUCGAAGCCCCAGUAAACGGCGGCCGUAACUAUAACGGUCCUAAGGUAGCGAAAUUCCUUGUCGGGUAAGUUCCGACCCGCACGAAAGGCGUAACGAUUUGGGCACUGUCUCAACGAGAGACUCGGUGAAAUCAUAGUACCUGUGAAGAUGCAGGUUACCCGCGACAGGACGGAAAGACCCCGUGGAGCUUUACUGUAGCCUGAUAUUGAAAUUCGGCACAGCUUGUACAGGAUAGGUAGGAGCCUUUGAAACGUGAGCGCUAGCUUACGUGGAGGCGCUGGUGGGAUACUACCCUAGCUGUGUUGGCUUUCUAACCCGCACCACUUAUCGUGGUGGGAGACAGUGUCAGGCGGGCAGUUUGACUGGGGCGGUCGCCUCCUAAAAGGUAACGGAGGCGCUCAAAGGUUCCCUCAGAAUGGUUGGAAAUCAUUCAUAGAGUGUAAAGGCAUAAGGGAGCUUGACUGCGAGACCUACAAGUCGAGCAGGGUCGAAAGACGGACUUAGUGAUCCGGUGGUUCCGCAUGGAAGGGCCAUCGCUCAACGGAUAAAAGCUACCCCGGGGAUAACAGGCUUAUCUCCCCCAAGAGUUCACAUCGACGGGGAGGUUUGGCACCUCGAUGUCGGCUCAUCGCAUCCUGGGGCUGUAGUCGGUCCCAAGGGUUGGGCUGUUCGCCCAUUAAAGCGGUACGCGAGCUGGGUUCAGAACGUCGUGAGACAGUUCGGUCCCUAUCCGUCGUGGGCGUAGGAAAUUUGAGAGGAGCUGUCCUUAGUACGAGAGGACCGGGAUGGACAUACCUCUGGUGUACCAGUUGUCGUGCCAACGGCAUAGCUGGGUAGCUAUGUGUGGACGGGAUAAGUGCUGAAAGCAUCUAAGCAUGAAGCCCCCCUCAAGAUGAGAUUUCCCAACUUCGGUUAUAAGAUCCCUCAAAGAUGAUGAGGUUAAUAGGUUCGAGGUGGAAGCAUGGUGACAUGUGGAGCUGACGAAUACUAAUCGAUCGAAGACUUAAUCAAAA